UCCUACGCAUUCAUCACCGUCAGUGUCAUUUGUCAUCAGUGUGUUUAUUUUCGUACAUUUCAAUAUAACUUGUUUUCCACUUUUAUAACAUCAAAAAUUUCGAAUGUACAAUUAUUGAAUAUAUAUCCGUCUGGUAAUAAAUAAAAAUCAAAAUGGGGGCCGUACUAGGUCUUUGUUCUGCUGCGCAGCUCGCCUGCUGUUGUGGAAGCACCGCCUGCUCCCUUUGUUGCUCUGCAUGCCCAUCAUGUAGAAAUUCAAC